UAGUCCUACGGGAGGCAGCAGUGAGGAAUAUUGGUCAAUGGACGGAAGUCUGAACCAGCCAUGCCGCGUGCAGGAAGACGGCUCUAUGAGUUGUAAACUGCUUUUGUACAAGGGUAAACCUGAAUACGUGUAUUCAGCUGAAAGUACUGUACGACUAAGGAUCGGCUAACUCCGUGCCAGCAGCCGCGGUAAUACGGAGGAUCCAAGCGUUAUCCGGAUUUAUUGGGUUUAAAGGGUGCGUAGGCGGAUUGAUAAGUUAGCGGUGAAAUGUCGGGGCUCAACCCCGAAACU
rnacentral:rRNA from 1 species